rnacentral:lncRNA from 1 species
CUAUGUGGUCGAUUUUAAAAUGCGAUAUCCCAGGACUAAGUAUCGCCGACCCUUUCGUUUAUUAAGCACAUGCGGAAGCAGUUAUAAAUUCCCAGACAAUAAUACAAUGAGAUAGAAAAGUAAGGCCAUAUUUUUCAUAUUGAAAUCCACAACCGAACCUUUAUACAUGGCAUAACUCAAAGUCUAUUCACAAGACUAUUCAUAACAUUCUAGUUACACUCUAUAUACACAACACAAGGUUCACAAAAGAGGAUGGGAUCUCAAUCCUCAUUCGGGUCGUACUCAAGAUCAUCCUGAUUUUCUUCUGACUCUUCUUCACUAAGCUCACAUCCUUCAAGCUCUUCAUCUUUUACCGGCUCAUCGUCCUCUUCUAGUUCCUUCUUCACAGGCUCACCUAUGGGCCUGAAAUGUUGUCCCACAACCGGGAUGAGAUUACGUCUCAGCAAAUUCUACCCCACUAAGACUCGAUUAGGAAACCAAUACGCUAUCCAGGUUGCCUAUACACGCACGGAUCAGAGGACUUACCUUGGCCUUAGACUCCACCUGCAUAUUAGCACAGUUUAAUAGGCACUCAAUAGUCACAUCGCAGAUUGAAGCGUCAAUCAAAUCGACCUAGUCGAUUACAUGUCAUUCGAACCAUCGCAAGGUCAUUUCCACUCAAUCAAUCAAUUCACAACAUCAGAUCAAAUCAUUGAUCAAUCGACUUAGUCGAUUACAUGACAACAAGACUACUCAUCAGUCAUUUUAGUCAUUCCAUUUCAUCUUCUUCCUAACAGCUCAAUGAGCCUAGCUUAUCGAUUUCUUGGCUAUAAAUCCCGGUCCUAAAGGACACAACUUAUUUAUAGGUGGUAAUCACGGCCCCACCAAGCAAUUUUCUUAGAUUUAGUGGUAUCACGGCCCCACUCGGCAGCUUUCAAUAUUUAGUGGCAUCACGGCCCCACUCAGCAAUUGUAUAUGUAGUGGCAUCACGGCCCCACUCGGCAAUUAUGUAUGUAGUGGCAUCACGGCCCCACUCGGCAAUUUAUAUGUAGUGGCAUCACGGCCCCACUCGGCAAUUAUGUAUGCAGUGGCAUCAUGGCCCCACUCGGCAAUUAUGUAUGUAGUGGCAUCACGGCCCCACUUGGCAAUUAUCUAUUAAACUCACAACCUCACACGGUUAUUUUCCUUUCAAAUAACGACACCUCUUAAUUUUGGGACAUAUUCCCAUAUUCACCAAUCUUACUCAACUUUCUCAAUUUUCCGUAAUUCACCAAUCAAUUAAACACUGACAACCAAUACUCGGUUGUUCUUCGAUCAAUUACUCAAAAUCAACUCAUUUAGGAAUAUAUUCUAAAAAAUCCAUAAUUUAUUCAAUUCAACACAAUGUAGAAUUCAAUUAAAUAAACGCACUGCACCACGACGAUCAGCAUAGAAUUUCGGUCGUCGGCUAUCCUUGCCUAAUUUCCGAAAAAUAAAUAAUUAAAUAAUUAAUUUCGAAAAUUAAUAAAUAAAUACGACAAAUCCAAUUUAGGCCCGAAAUGCCUAAUUGAAGCCCGAUAAGGGUCGGGAAAAAUCCCGAGAUGCAUUCAAUAAAUAAUAGUAUGUCUCUACUUGCUAAUGACUAAGUCUAACCACCUAGCAUGCAUCAUUAAGUCACUAAUUUAAUUGUUCUAAACUAAUCUAACCACCUAAUUGCACUUAAUUAAAUCUAAUCAACCCUUAAGCAUCAUUAGUUUACUAAGCAAGGAUUGGUGAGAUUACUCACUUGAUUAAAAGCGGAGACCAAAUCACCACGACGGUGACGCGACGGCGCGACAACGGCCAAAAUCCGAAUUUUCGGUGACGUCGAGGAUCACUCGGGCUGGGCCAAGUUACUUUGCAAGCCCAUAGAAAUAUCUGGGUUCAGACUAAACUUGGGCCAAACUUGGGCCAACUUGCUUCGCGGGCUGAACUGCUAAACUUCUUGGGCUUCAAGUGGGCUGGAAUUGGACCAUCUGUUGGGCCAAAGCUUGGCUGAGUUGUGGACUUCAAUGGAGCUGGGCUACACUUGAGCUGAAGACGGGCCGGUUUCUUGGGCUGCUUUGGCGGAUGAAGUGGCAGCGUGAGAUGGCGCCAAUUCGGUGGGCCUUCGAGCAGCUGAAGUCUUCGUUGGGGUUUUGACCGAGAGAAGCAGCGAAGGUGGAGAGGAACAUGGACUGGCUUCGUGGUAGGGCUUCGCUGGCUUCGCUGGCUUCAUGAGCGGAAGACACGGCCAAAGUUAAUUUCGGUGGAUGCUGCUGGAGGUUGACUGAACAUGUGGCAGCAAGAUGGAGCGGCUCCAAUGGACGUUGGCCGAAUUGUGGGCGUGGAAGAAGAAGCAGCUUUAGCUUCGGUGGAGAGAACGAUGGAGCAGCAGGCGUGGCGCACGGAGAAGCUUCACGGUCAAUGAUGGGGCUUCGCUUGAAGUUUAGUUGACCCGGACGUGGCAGCUUGGAGAGAAAAACUCGGUGGGAAUUGCUUCGGUGGAGGCGUUGUUGAUGCACGAAGACGAUGGGCGAGCUGGCAAGCGGUCGCCGAUGUUGAGGUUGGAGGCGUGGAUGUGAUGCAGAGGCUUCGGUGGAUGGUGAAUGGGCAGACGGUGGAGAGACAAGAAGAAAAUGAAAGCGAAGUAGCACACGGAAGAGAAGAAGUCGACGCUGCGGUGGGUGUGCGGCUGAGAGAGUCCGAAUGAAGGGGGGCUGAAUCGUGUGAUGGAAGCCAGCUAUGAGGGAAAUAUAG